UACAGAGGUCCCAAGCGUUGUUCGGAUUCACUGGGCGUAAAGGGUGCGUAGGUGGUCGGGUAAGUCUGAUGUGAAAUCUCCGGGCCUAACCCGGAAACUGCAUCGGAUACUAUUCGGCUAGAGGGUUGGAGGGGGGACUGGAAUACUUGGUGUAGCAGUGAAAUGCGUAGAUAUCAAGUGGAACACCAGUGGCGAAGGCGAGUCUCUGGACAUUUCCUGAUGCUGAGGCACGAAAGCCAGGGGAGCAAACGGG
rnacentral:rRNA from 1 species